rnacentral:rRNA from 1 species
AUACGUAGGGGGCAAGCGUUAUCCGGAUUUACUGGGUGUAAAGGGAGCGUAGGUGGCAUAGCAAGUCAGAUGUGAAAGCCCGGGGCUUAACCACGGGACUGCAUUUGAAACUGCUAAGCUAGAGUACAGGAGAGGCAAGUGGAAUUCCUAGUGUAGCGGUGAAAUGCGUAGAUAUUAGGAGGAACACCAGUGGCGAAGGCGGCUUGCUGGACUGUUACUGACACUGAGGCUCGAAAGCGUGGGGAGC